UGUCUCUGGCCAUCCUUGGGGAGAUCCUGUUUGGCAUUAAGUUGUCGGGCAGGGGAUACCCAUCGUUUACUGUGAAAAAAUUAGAGUGUUUAAAGCAGGCUUAUGCCGUUGAAUAUAUUAGCAUGGAAUAAUAAGAUAGGACUUCGGAACUAUUUUGUUGGUUUGCGUUACGAAGUAAUGAUUAAUAGGGACAGUUGGGGGUAUUCGUAUUUCAUUGUCAGAGGUGAAAUUCUUGGAUUUCUGAAAGACGAACUACUGCGAAAGCAUUUACCAAGGAUGUUUUCAUUAAUCAAGAACGAAAGUUAGGGGAUCGAAGAUGAUUAGAUACCAUCGUAGUCUUAACCAUAAACUAUGCCGACUCAGGAUUGGCGGUUGUUUUUU
rnacentral:rRNA from 1 species